CACACGCAGCCCCAAAUGCUGUUUCUCUCUUUCUCCCUCUGUUUCCGGAUUCAACUUCAAAUGCCCAUCCGCCAUUCCAUCCAUCGGUCUUUCUUCACUUCUCUGUUGCUUCUCCUUCGUUCAAUUCUGUCUGUUACAAGAGACAAGACAGAAAAUUGAGAAAAGAAAAAGGCAGAAUCUCUCUCUCGCUCUUUCUCGAGCGCGCGCGCAGAGACGGUGACGGCCAACGAUGCCUCGCUGGAGAAGGAAGAAAAGUGAGAAGAAGAAGAAGCCUGAUUCGCCAACUAACGUUCCAGAUGGUGGUGGCAGUGAGAUAAAAGGGGAAAAGGGAAAUGGUGCUGCAUUCCAUGAUCAUGGUGAUGGUGGACAUAAAGCUGUUGUUGCCUCUUCAAAGUCAUCUGAGUCAAAGCGGACAAAUCCUGUGGUAAAUGGUGUUGCAUUCCAUGAUCAUGGUGAUGGUGGACAUAAAGCUGUUGUUGCCUCUCCAAAGUCAUCUGAGUCAAAGCGGACAAAUGCUGUGGUAAAUGGUGCUGCAUUCCAUGAUCAUGGUGAUGGUGGACAUAAAGCUGUUGUUGCCUCUCCAAAGUCAUCUGAGUCAAAGCGGACAAAUGCUGUGGUAAAUGGUGCUGCAUUCCAUGAUCAUGGUGAUGGUGGACAUAAAGCUGUCGCUGCCUCUCCAAAGUCAUCUGAGUCAAAGCAAACAAAUGCUGAUAACUCGGAUCCCAAAAUGGAGAAUAGCUCAAGUCGAAAGAUGGAGAAGGGCUCGAAUGCGAGGAUGGAGAACAGCUCAAACCCGAAAAUGGAGAACUCACAUCUUCCUUCCCACGAUUCUAACGACAACGGCGGGCAAACCGCCAAAGAUUUGGAGGUGCAGAAAAAUGACGACGAAGAUGGAUGGUUAAAAGGGGAUGCCAUUGUCGGUGUUGUGGAUGGAAAAAAUGAAGGUGAACUGGAGGAGAAAAGCAAAAUUGUGGAGCCAUUGAAGGACAACCAGCAGAGAGCGUCUAAUGGUAGCCCCAGCGAUGAUGGUACCGCAGUUAGUGAUUCUGGAAAGCAAACCAAGGAGCAAGGAACUACCUUGACUGUUUCGGGUGUCACUGACCGAGAGAAUGCAGUAAGUUCUGAAGUUCUUAAAAAUGAACUUCCAAUCAAGAGUCCUGAAGCCAUCAUUGAAACCGGAAAGGGAGAAAUCACAGCAGAUGAUACAGGAUUACCUGAAUCAGGAAAAGAAGAAUCAAGUGAGAAUGUUGAUAGGAAUGCAGUAAGUUCGGAAGUUCUUCAAAAUGAACUUCCAAUCGAGAGUCCUGAAGCCAUUAUUGAAACCGGAAAGGAAGAAAACACAUCAGAUGAUACAGGGUUGGCUGAAUCAGAAAAAGAAGAAUCAAGAGAGAAUGUUGACAAGAAUGCAGUAAGUUCGGCAGUUCUUAAAAAUGAACUUCCAAUCAAGAAUCCUGAAGCCAUUAUUGAAACCGGAAAAGGAGAAAGCACAGCAGAUGAUACAGGAUUGCCUGAAUCAGGAAAAGAAGAAUCAAGAGAGAAAGUUGAGAGGAAUGCAGUAAGUUCGGAAUUUCUUCAAAAUGAACUUCCAAUCAAGAGUCCUGAAGCCAUUAUUGAAACCGGAAAGGAAGAAAGCACAUCAGUUGAUACAGGAUUGGCUGAAUCAGAAAAAGAAGAAUCAAGAGAGAAUGUUGAUAAGAAUGCAGUAAGUUCGGCAGUUCUUAAAAAUGAACUUCCAAUCAAGAAUCCUGAAGCCAUUAUUGAAACCGGAAAGGGAGAAAGCACAGCAGAUGAUACGGGAUUGCCUGAACCAGAAAAAGAAGAAUCAAGACAGGAUGUUGAUAACUAUUGCGUUGUAGGCUUGGUUGAACCAACCAAGGAGGAACAUAUGGAGAUUGUGCCACUUCCUUCUUCUGUGGAAGUUCAUCACGAAAACAAGCAACAGGUGGUGAUUGAUACAGCGCACAGACCUCUUGAAGUCACAGAGAAUAUGGAUGACCAUGCUCGUGUAAACUCGGUUGAAAUACCAAGGGAAGAAAUCCCAGAGAUUGUGCCAUUUUAUUCGUCUGUGGAGGUUGAUCAGCAGGCAAACAAACCGGCGAUCACUGUUCGUGCUGCAGAUAAACCUGUUUCUCUGUCCUCCAAAGAUAGCGACGAACUGAAAACGGCAGAAACAGAGAGAACUUUACCACCAUUGAUCGAGCGACCAACUUCUUGGAAGUGUUGCUGUGGAUUGUUGGAUGUGUUUAUGGGCUCAAACAGAUGAAGCAAGGUGAAGUGGAUUCAGGAUUCCGAAGCAAUGUCAUCCCAAGACAUACUCAACUGACAUGUUAUAUUCAUCAACUUCUCUUGCAGACUGACUGGUAUUUCCCAGGAGAGGCAGUUCAUGGCUUUUUUGCACUUCUUGAACCGUCGGACUGGCACCCCAGUCACAAGACUGGGUGAAGAUGAAAAGAGAUGUUAAUGGCCUUAGGUCUCAAAGCAUUUGUGGGUGAAGAUUGCUACUGUCUUGGACACCUUGCUUCAGGAACUUGAUGUUGGCUGAUUGAUGGAUGGACAUGGAAGAACUGCUGAUUUCACCAAUACUGUAAUUAUAAUGACUUCAAAUGUUGGUCCCCAAAAGCUUCUUCUUCAGCAGAUAGACUUAUACUGGAGGUAAUUAGAGGCCGACUAUCAGAUACAAGAAUUGCUUUAGGAGAUCUGAUACAAUGUUGCUUAU